rnacentral:lncRNA from 1 species
GGUUGGGCUUGGUGGAGUCUAAAAUCAGACUCCUGGUGGGAACUCUGGAGAGAAAUGCUUUCAUUACCCGGGCCCACAGAGAUGUCCAGCCCUUCCCUGGAUCCAGCAAGGAUCAAGGCAAUGCCACCAAAGAGAAAAAGUGGCUGAUUGGACCUACACCGAGACUUGACCCCCCAACCUCACGUCCUUCAGUGAUACUGUCUACAGACAGGCAGAUAGCUGUGGGAUAUUCAAAGAGGGGAUGACCAUAUCAAGCAGAUACAUGUGCCAGGACAAUUUAAGCAGGGAGAUGUUUAAUAGACGCAAAAGGGUUCUCAAUCAAGACCCGAAGCCCUCAACAAGCCGUCACGUCUCUGCCACUGUAACAGCUAGUUACACACCAGCUGUCAGCGCAGCCCGACCAGCUACUAGAAAAACAAGGUGGUCUCAGCCUGAGAUGCAAACCAAGGCCAAUGUUGACAUGAAUUCGCUGUCUGUGACUAGCGGCUCAUCUGUCCAAGCAUCCACAUCCAGAAGACCCGCUUCUGUAUCCUCCAUGAGUUCAUGGGCUGAAAAGAGACCCCGCAUUCCUGAGCUUGAGACACCGAGCAAGAAAGUCAAAAUUGACCUGGGUCCGCUCACUGUCGAGCUGUCAGACCUGACUACAGCCCGGUUAAAGCUUACAGUUGGGAAACGUGCCAUCAAACUUCAUCUAAUAGGCAUACUUAAUUCAACCUCCUGACCAAGAGGAAAAACCUCAUCAUCAUCAUCCUCCGUC